rnacentral:rRNA from 1 species
AGAACGAACGCUGGCGGCAUGCCUAAUACAUGCAAGUCGAACGAAUGCCCUUCGGGGUGUUAGUGGCGCACGGGUGCGUAACGCGUGGGAAUCUGCCCUUGGGUUCGGAAUAACAGUUAGAAAUGACUGCUAAUACCGGAUGAUGACGUAAGUCCAAAGAUUUAUCGCCCAGGGAUGAGCCCGCGUAGGAUUAGCUAGUUGGUGGGGUAAAGGCCUACCAAGGCGACGAUCCUUAGCUGGUCUGAGAGGAUGAUCAGCCACACGUGGGACUGGAGACACCGGCCCAGACUCCGUACGGGAGGCAGCAGUA